AACGAACGCUGGCGGCGUGCCUAAUACAUGCAAGUAGAACGCAGUUGCGAACGGGUGAGUAACGCGUAGGUAACUGCCUCAUAGCGUGAGAUAAGUAUUGGAAACGAUAGCUAAUACCGCAUACUGUGAGAUGAUCCUGCGGUGUAUUAGCUAGUUGGUUAGGUAAAGGUCCACCAAGGCGACGAUACAUAGCCGAACUGGGCGGUGGAUCGGCCACACUGGGACUGAGAAACGGGCCAAACUCCUACGGGAGGCAGCAGGAGGGAAUCUUCGGCAAUUGACGGAAGGCUGACCGAGCAACGCCGCGUGAGGUAAGAAGGUUUUCGGAACUGAAAGCUCUGUUGUUAGAGAAGCGUUAACUAACCAGAAAGGGACGGCUAACUACGUGCCAGCAGCCGCGGUAAUUC
rnacentral:rRNA from 1 species